rnacentral:rRNA from 1 species
UGGGGAAUAUUGCGCAAUGGAGGCAACUCUGACGCAGCCAUGCCGCGUGUGUGAAGAAGGCCCUCGGGUUGUAAAGCACUUUCAAUUGGGAGAAAAAGCUUGUCGUUAAUAGCGGCAAGCCUUGAUGUUACCUUUAGAAGAAGCACCGGCUAACUCCGUGCCAGCAGCCGCGGUAAUACGGAGGGUGCGAGCGUUAAUCGGAAUUACUGGGCGUAAAGCGCGCGUAGGCGGUUGCUUAAGUCGGAUGUGAAAGCCCCGGGCUCAACCUGGGAACUGCAUUCGAUACUGGGCGACUAGAGUACGAGAGAGGGAGGUAGAAUUCCACGUGUAGCGGUGAAAUGCGUAGAUAUGUGGAGGAAUACCGGUGGCGAAGGCGGCCUCCUGGCUCGAUACUGACGCUGAGGUGCGAAAAGCGUGGGGAGCAAAACAGGAUUAGAUACCCUGGUAGUCCACGCCGUAAACGAUGUCUACUAGCCGUUGGGGUACUUGAGACCUUAGUGGCGCAGCUAACGCACUAAGUAGACCGCCUGGGAGUACGGCCGCAA